rnacentral:misc_RNA from 1 species
GAUGAAGAACGUAGCGAAAUGCGAUAAGUAAUGUGAAUUGCAGAAUUCAGUGAAUCAUCGAAUCUUUGAACGCACAUUGCGCCCGCCAGUAUUCUGGCGGGCAUGCCUGUUCGAGCGUCAUUACAACCCUCAGGCCCCCGGGCCUGGCGUUGGGGAUCGGCGGAGCCCCCCGUGGGCACACGCCGUCCCCCAAAUACAGUGGCGGUCCCGCCGCAGCUUCCAUCGCGUAGUAGCUAACACCUCGCGACUGGAGAGCGGCGCGGCCACGCCGUAAAACACCCAACUCUUCUGAGGUUGACCUCGAAUCAGGUAGGAAUACCCGCUGAACUUAAGCAUAUCAAUAAGCGGAGGA